rnacentral:rRNA from 1 species
UACAGAGGUGCUCAAGCGUUUGUUCGGAUUCAUUGGGGCGUAAAGGGUGUGUAGGUGGCGCGCUAAGUCGGGUAGUCGAAAUUUCGGAGCUUAACUCCGUAAAACUGCAUUCGAUACUGGCGAUCUCGAGUCCGGGAGAGGUGAGUGGAACUAGCGAGUGUAGAGGUGAAAUUCGUAGAUAUUCGCAAGAACACCAGUGGCGAAGGCGGACUCACUGGCCCGGUACGUGACGCUGAGGUGGCGAAAGCGUGGGGAGCAAACAGG